rnacentral:rRNA from 1 species
GUUCUCCCCGAAAGCUAUUUAGGUAGCGCCUCGUGAAUUCAUCUCCGGGGGUAGAGCACUGUUUCGGCAAGGGGGUCAUCCCGACUUACCAACCCGAUGCAAACUGCGAAUACCGGAGAAUGUUAUCACGGGAGACACACGGCGGGUGCUAACGUCCGUCGUGAAGAGGGAAACAACCCAGACCGCCAGCUAAGGUCCCAAAGUCAUGGUUAAGUGGGAAACGAUGUGGGAAGGCCCAGACAGCCAGGAUGUUGGCUUAGAAGCAGCCAUCAUUUAAAGAAAGCGUAAUAGCUCACUGGUCGAGUCGGCCUGCGCGGAAGAUGUAACGGGGCUAAACCAUGCACCGAAGCUGCGGCAGCGACGCUUAUGCGUUGUUGGGUAGGGGAGCGUUCUGUAAGCCUGCGAAGGUGUGCUGUGAGGCAUGCUGGAGGUAUCAGAAGUGCGAAUGCUGACAUAAGUAACGAUAAAGCGGGUGAAAAGCCCGCUCGCCGGAAGACCAAGGGUUCCUGUCCAACGUUAAUCGGGGCAGGGUGAGUCGACCCCUAAGGCGAGGCCGAAAGGCGUAGUCGAUGGGAAACAGGUUAAUAUUCCUGUACUUGGUGUUACUGCGAAGGGGGGACGGAGAAGGCUAUGUUGGCCGGGCGACGGUUGUCCCGGUUUAAGCGUGUAGGCUGGUUUUCCAGGCAAAUCCGGAAAAUCAAGGCUGAGGCGUGAUGACGAGGCACUACGGUGCUGAAGCAACAAAUGCCCUGCUUCCAGGAAAAGCCUCUAAGCAUCAGGUAACAUCAAAUCGUACCCCAAACCGACACAGGUGGUCAGGUAGAGAAUACCAAGGCGCUUGAGAGAACUCGGGUGAAGGAACUAGGCAAAAUGGUGCCGUAACUUCGGGAGAAGGC